rnacentral:rRNA from 1 species
ACGAACGCUGGCGGCGUGCUUCACCCCUGCCAGUCGAACGGAAAGGCCCUGCUUUUGUGGGGUGCUCGCGUGGCGAACGGGUGAGUAACACGUGAGUAACCUGCCCUUGACUUUGGGAUAACUUCAGGAAACUGGGGCUAAUACCGGAUAGGAGCUCCUGCUGCAUGGUGGGGGUUGGAAAGUUUCGGCGGUUGGGGAUGGACUCGCGGCUUAUCAGCUUGUUGGUGGGGUAGUGGCUUACCAAGGCUUUGACGGGUAGCCGGCCUGAGAGGGUGACCGGCCACAUUGGGACUGAGAUACGGCCCAGACUCCUACGGGAGGCAGCAGUGGGGAAUAUUGCACAAUGGGCGGAAGCCUGAUGCAGCAACGCCGCGUGCGGGAUGACGGCCUUCGGGUUGUAAACCGCUUUCGCCUGUGACGAAGCGUGAGUGACGGUAAUGGGUAAAGAAGCACCGGCUAACUACGUG